GGUUGAUCCUGCCAGUAGUUAUAUGCUUGUCUCAAAGAUUAAGCCAUGCAUGUCUAAGUAUACGUAUUUUAUAGCGAGACUGCGAAGGGCUCAAUAGUACAGUUAUAGUGUGCCAGGUUAGUUCGGUUGGAUAACGGUAGUAAUUCUAGCGCUAAAACAUUUGCAUAGUUGUAAUAGACACUUUUAUUCGUUCGAGAGCAAAAUUGUGCUUGAUCGAGAAUAAAAACAAUAUUGUUUAUCAAGACACCUGUUCAGUUUCUGACCUAUCAGCUUGUUGGUACGGUAUUGGCGU
rnacentral:rRNA from 1 species